CUAAUACAUGCAAGUCGAGCGAACAGAUAAGGAGCUUGCUCCUUUGACGUUAGCGGCGGACGGGUGAGUAACACGUGGGUAACCUACCUAUAAGACUGGAAUAACUCCGGGAAACCGGGGCUAAUGCCGGAUAACAUUUAGAACCGCAUGGUUCUAAAGUGAAAGAUGGUUUUGCUAUCACUUAUAGAUGGACCCGCGCCGUAUUAGCUAGUUGGUAAGGUAACGGCUUACCAAGGCAACGAUACGUAGCCGACCUGAGAGGGUGAUCGGCCACACUGGAACUGAGACACGGUCCAGACUCCUACGGGAGGCAGCAGUAGGGAAUCUUCCGCAAUGGGCGAAAGCCUGACGGAGCAACGCCGCGUGAGUGAUGAAGGUCUUCGGAUCGUAAAACUCUGUUAUUAGGGAAGAACAAAUGUGUAAGUAACUAUGCACGUCUUGACGGUACCUAAUCAGAAAGCCACGGCUAACUACGUGCCAGCAGCCGCGGUAAUACGUAGGUGGCAAGCGUUAUCCGGAAUUAUUGGGCGUAAAGCGCGCGUAGGCGGUUUCUUAAGUCUGAUGUGAAAGCCCACGGCUCAACCGUGGAGGGUCAUUGGAAACUGGGAAACUUGAGUACAGAAGAGGAAAGUGGAAUUCCAUGUGUAGCGGUGAAAUGCGCAGAGAUAUGGAGGAACACCAGUGGCGAAGGCGACUUUCUGGUCUGUAACUGACGCUGAUGUGCGAAAGCGUGGGGAUCAAACAGGAUUAGAUACCCUGGUAGUCCACGCCGUAAACGAUGAGUGCUAAGUGUUAGGGGGUUUCCGCCCCUUAGUGCUGCAGCUAACGCAUUAAGCACUCCGCCUGGGGAGUACGACCGCAAGGUUGAAACUCA
rnacentral:rRNA from 1 species